CAGUCGCCGCGGUAAUACGAAGGGGGCUAGCGUUGUUCGGAUUUACUGGGCGUAAAGGGCGCGUAGGCGGACUGAUAAGUCAGGGGUGAAAUCCCAAGGCUCAACCUUGGAACUGCCUUUGAUACUGUUUGUCUUGAGUUCGAGAGAGGUAAGUGGAACUGCGAGUGUAGAGGUGAAAUUCGUAGAUAUUCGCAAGAACACCAGUGGCGAAGGCGGCUUACUGGCUCGAUACUGACGCUGAGGCGCGAAAGCGUGGGGAGCAAACAGGAUUAGAUACCCCAGUAGUCCCUGUCUCUUAUAA
rnacentral:rRNA from 1 species